UCCCUGGUGGUUCAGUGGGUAAGACUCUGCACUUCUAAUGCAGGGGGUCCGAGUUCGAUCCCCGGUCAGGGAA